AGCAGCCGCGGUAAUUCCAGCUCCAAUAGCGUAUAUUAAAGUUGUUGCAGUUAAAAAGCUCGUAGUUGAAUUUCGGGAUCAGUACGCUGGUCGUGCCUUCGGUAUGUACUGGUGUUACUGGUUCCUACCUUCUGACGAACCGUCAUGUCAUUAAUUUGGUGUGGCGGGAAAUCAGGACUGUUACUUUGAAAAAAUUAGAGUGUUUAAAGCAGGCUCGCGCUUGAAUACAUUAGCAUGGAAUAAUGAAAUAGGACGUUCGAUCCUAUUUUGUUGGUUUCUAGGAUUGACGUAAUGAUUAAUAGGGAUAGUUGGGGGCAUUAGUAUUCAAUUGUCAGAGGUGAAAUUCUUGGAUCUAUUGAAGACUAACUACUGCGAAAGCAUUUGCCAAGGAUGUUUUCAUUAAUCAAGAACGAAAGUUAGGGGAUCGAAGACGAUCAGAUACCGUCGUAGUCUUAACCAUAAACUAUGCCGACUAGGGAUCGGAUGAUGUUAUUUUUAAUGACUCAUUCGGCGCCUUACG
rnacentral:rRNA from 1 species